UACGGGGGGGCAAGCGUUGUUCGGAAUUACUGGGCGUAAAGAGCGCGCAGGCGGUCGUACAAGUCGCGUGUGAAAGCCCCCGGCUCAACUGGGGAGGGUCACGCGAUACUGUUCGACUCGAAGGCAGGAGAGGGUAGUGGAAUUCCCGGUGUAGUGGUGAAAUGCGUAGAUAUCGGGAGGAACACCAGUGGCGAAGGCGACUACCUGGCCUGUUCUUGACGCUGAGGCGCGAAAGCUAGGGUAGCAACGGG
rnacentral:rRNA from 1 species